AGUUGUCUCAAACAGUCGCAAACUCAAUGCGCAAUGGUCAUGCGUAACCAGUCGCCGAAGCAGUGGUUUGGAAGUUUGUUACUAAACAAGCAAGAGACAUUUUUUUGAAGGUUUUUGUUCGUAAAACAUGCCAAAGAGACAAAAAAACACGACACAUGUCGAAGAACCCGAGGACAUGAUGAUGAUGAUCUGGAGGACAUCGAUGAAGGAGAAGAAAGCAAUUUCUCGGAAUGCGACUCCGAGGAGGAGCAGAACUUUUUAGCUGGGAAGGACCCUGAUUUUGAGCUUGACAGCGAUGAAGACUGGGCCCCGCCAAG